CCUACGGGUGGCAGCAGUGGGGAAUAUUGGACAAUGGGGGGAACCCUGAUCCAGCCAUGCCGCGUGUGUGAAGAAGGCCCUCGGGUUGUAAAGCACUUUCAGUGAGGAAGAACGCCUGGUGGUUAAUACCCAUCAGGAAAGACAUCACUCACAGAAGAAGCACCGGCUAACUCCGUGCCAGCAGCCGCGGUAAUACGGAGGGUGCGAGCGUUAAUCGGAAUUACUGGGCGUAAAGCGCGCGUAGGUGGCUUGAUAAGCCGGUUGUGAAAGCCCCGGGCUCAACCUGGGAACGGCAUCCGGAACUGUCAAGCUAGAGUGCAGGAGAGGAAGGUAAAAUUCCCGGUGUAGCGGUGAAAUGCGUAGAGAUCGGGAGGAAUACCAGUGGCGAAGGCGGCCUUCUGGACUGACACUGACACUGAGGUGCGAAAGCGUGGGUAGCAAACAGGAUUAGAUACCCGAGUAGUC
rnacentral:rRNA from 1 species